AGGUUUGAUCCUGGCUCAGGACGAACGCUGGCGGCAUGCCUAAUACAUGCAAGUCGAACGAUCACUUCGGUGGUAGUGGCGCACGGGUGCGUAACGCGUGGGAAUCUGCCCUUGGGUUCGGAAUAACAUCUGGAAACGGAUGCUAAUACCGGAUGAUGACGUAAGUCCAAAGAUUUAUCGCCCAGGGAUGAGCCCGCGUAGGAUUAGCUAGUUGGGGGGGUAAAGGCCUACCAAGGCGACGAUCCUUAGCUGGUCUGAGAGGAUGAUCAGCCACACUGGGUCUGAGACACGGCCCAGACUCCUACGGGAGGCAGCAGUAGGGAAUAUUGGACAAUGGGGGCAACCCUGAUCCAGCAAUGCCGCGUGAGUGAUGAAGGCCUUAGGGUUGUAAAGCUCUUUUACCCGGGAUGAUAAUGACAGUACCGGGAGAAUAAGCCCCGGCUAACUCCGUGCCAGCAGCCGCGGUAAU
rnacentral:rRNA from 1 species